rnacentral:rRNA from 1 species
CGUAACAAGGUUUCCGUAGGUGAACCUGCGGAAGGAUCAUUAACAGAAUCGGAUGGCGUGCUCGCGCGCCGCUCGUUCUCACCCCUGUGUCUACCUGUAAAUCGUGUGUUGCCUUGGCAGGCGGGUUGCGCUUGUGCAACCCACAGCCUGCCGGUGGACCCUGUAACACUUGUCAUCGGGUGCUGUCUGAGUUAAAUAUACAUAAAUAGGUAAAAACUUUCAACAACGGAUCUCUUGGUUCUGGCAUCGAUGAAGAACGCAGCGAAAUGCGAUAAGUAAUGUGAAUUGCAGAAUUCAGUGAAUCAUCGAAUCUUUGAACGCACAUUGCGCCCUCUGGUAUUCCAGGGGGCAUGCCUGUUCGAGCGUCAUUAACACCCCUCACGCCCCCCGGGGCGUGGUCUUGGGCUCGCCCUGCUGUCUGGCCGGGCCUGCCUCAAAAUCAGUGGCGGCGUUCGUCGAACCCCCUAAGCGUAGUAACAACCACGAUGCUUGCUGGGCGUUGGAUGGAGGCUUGCUGUGAACCCCCACCCCACACGAUGUUGACCUCGGAUCAGGUAGGGAUACCCGCUGAACUUAAGCAUAUCAAUAAGCGGAGGAAAAGAAACCAACAGGGAUUGCCCCAGUAACGGCG